AAAAAGAAAAAAAAGAAAGAAAGUUCUCUGUUUUAUAUUUUCCCUUAACUUGACUAUCAGGAGAAUCAUUCCCAAAGCUUCAAAAGAAAAAGGGAAAGAAAAAGAGUAAACCGAAAGGAUGGGAAUUAUGCCAUAAACCUACAGCAAAUACAUUCUUUUCAUCUUUAUCUCUCUUUCUUCCUAAGAAGAAUUGAACGAAUUCUACUUUUUCUUGGGGACAAAACAGAAAAAGUGAAUCAUAUUAGCCUCAAUGUCACCAACAGACAAUGAAAUAGGACUCACUUGUGAUAACUGAUAAGCUGUGCUUGUCUGAAUCCAUAGUAGGAAUAGAGGCUGUGCCAAAACAAAGUCACAGCCAUAUGUUGCCAAGACUUUCUCUUUUACUAAUGGGAAUCAGCAAUAGAAAAAGAUUGAAGAAUGUCAGGUGAGGCCCACCAAGUUGCAGGUGUUGUUACCCCUCCACAAGAGUCAAUGACAGAAACUGUUCAAUAUUUGUUGAAAAACUAAUAGGUCAGGAAACUCUUCCUUGAACAUUAAUUAAUAUUUAAUUCAGAACUUAUCUCUUAGUUCAGCUCAUUAAGCAAGACAUUUAUUGUUCAAAAUUUUUUGUAACUUCCUAGUUGACAACACUCUUUAUUAAGCUGCCAAUUAGUUAAUAUAGACAGAUAUUUACUAUAAUGAGAAUGUUUGGGUGCCUUUGUAGAGAAUGGUCUGCAGGGGAAAGU
rnacentral:misc_RNA from 1 species